UGAAAGGUCUCUAGAAGCUUAAUGAUCUGGAUGCUAAGAAACCUUCUCCAUUGAUGACUCUUCAUAGCUGGUAAUGAGUAAUAAUAAAUAAUUCUGUCAAACAUUCAUUGCAGGUUUUUCUAAUAUGAGAUAUGAACAGACUAGGUGGUCAUUCCUACCAGGGAGAAGUGAGGGUAAGUGGUUGUCCCGGGCAAGGAGGUAAGAAAAACUCAUGGAUGUUUGGAGACUGGUAUAUCAAGUGGUGUGGAUUUUACUUCAGGGAGAAGAUCUGUGGUGGACCUUACUUGUCAUGGGGAGAAUAUGAAAAGCAGAUGCAAGACAAAGCAACUUGGACUUGCCAGCUGCUCAAUCCAUUGAGGACUCCAGUGACAAGAUGCUGUUAUUUCAAGGAGAAACAAAACAAAAAAACUAGUCACAUCAAAUAGUUCAGCUAGUAACAAAUCUGAAUCUGAAGUAAGUCAGGAGAACAUCACAGACAUGGAGGUAAGCAUUUAAGUUUUCCUGGUUGUCAAAUGAAUCUUGUGCUAAAGCAACACUUACAGCGCAAAUUAACAGGUCACAUCUUAUCUCCAGAUGGAAGGAAACUAGAGGGCUGUUUUGUUCUAGAAGGGAUGAAUGCAAAUGCGGCUUGCUGAACCAGGCAUGUCUGUUAGGAAGGAAAAAAGCACGUUUCUUUAACAUUCAAGUGGAAAUGAAUAGAUCCUCUUAUACUUUCAGAUGAGAGGAAUGCAGCUGAUUUGAAUGUUGAGGGUGUGACAACUUCGGGAAAUUCCUAGAAGCUCAGUGAUAUCUACAGAAAGGAAAGAAGCUAAACUCAGCACUGCUGCCAUGAGGUAAGGGACUCCCCUCCUAAUGGAGAAAUUGAUGGAUCUGGUUUCCUUUCAGGUGAAAGAAAUGCAGCUGAUCUGAUCUCCUAGGGAUUGAGGACUAUAAGCAGUCAUAUGUCUUAGGAAAGGAACACAUGUUGCCAGAUCUGCAGAGAAAACAAAGUUGCCUUCCUUAACUAGAAUGGGAAGAUAAUCACUUAUCAAGUUACAAACCCACAAUGCAGCAGCCCAUCACUGACUAGGAGAAGAAGAGUUACAGAGGCUCAGUACUGGAGUAGAAGGGAAUACGAAUGGAGCUGAACAGAUCCAACACUUGAAAGGACAAUUGGAUCUCAAAAUAUGAAACCAUGAAAAAGACCCUUCAUUCAAUAAAGCAACAGAAUUGGCUCAAAGGAGAGGUAAGAGAAGCAUUUAAGUCUAACAAAUGAGCAUACCCUGAGCGCCACAAAAUUGCUAACUUAUAUUGUGUCAAAGGGUUUGUUACAGCUGACCACACAUCUCAAGAUCUAAGAGGAGCUGAGUGGGAUGGCAGAUGUCAGAAGAUUCAUCUUUCAGGAGGUGAUGAACCUGCUUGUCACUUCUGAGUGACAUCAGUGGCUUUGGUUUUACUUUCAGAUGAAGGAAACACAGCCAGCAUGGACAGUAUUCAUGAAACAAUGUUCAAAAGUUGCCUGGGGUCACCUCUUGGGCUAAGGGGAGCCGCUUGUCCCAUCUGCUGGGAUGUAAGCAAAGAAAAACCACUGGAGGCUGGUUAGUGCUGGGACACAGACAAUACCCUGGAGGAGCCUGGGGUACGGUGUGUAAUCAUAGUGACCAGUGGGUCCUUUCCCCACUGUGGUCCUGGCUCGCAUGCACAGGGUGAAACUGAUCGCCAUGUUUGGGGUCAGGAAGGAAUUUUCCUCCAGGGCAGAUUGGCCAGAGACCCUGGAGGUUUUUCGCCUUCCUCUGGGGCAUCGAGCAGGGACCAGCCCUUUGGGCCAUUUAGAAACAGACAGACAAUAAAAUCCGUCAGAGAACAUGUC